UACGGGAGGGUGCGAGCGUUGUCCGGAAUCACUGGGCGUAAAGGGCGCGUAGGCGGCCUGAUAAGUAGGGGGUGAAAUCCUGCGGCUUAACCGCAGGGCUGACCUUCGUAAACUGUCAGCUCGAGCACAGUAGAGGCAGGGUGGAAUUCCCGGUGUAGCGGUGGAAUGCGUAGAGAUCGGGAAGAACAUCGAGUGGCGAAGGCGGCCUGGCGUGGGACUGUUGCUG
rnacentral:rRNA from 1 species